rnacentral:rRNA from 1 species
AUUGAACGCUGGCGGCAUGCCUUACACGUGCAAGUCGAACGGCAGCACGGGUGCUUGCCCCUGGUGGCGAGUGGCGAACGGGUGAGUAAUACAUCGGAACAUGUCCUGUAGUGGGGGAUAGCCCGGCGAAAGCCGGAUUAAUACCGCAUACGAUCUACGGAUGAAAGCGGGGGACCUUCGGGCCUCGCGCUAUAGGGUUGGCCGAUGGCUGAUUAGCUAGUUGGUGGGGUAAAGGCCUACCAAGGCGACGAUCAGUAGCUGGUCUGAGAGGACGACCAGCCACACUGGGACUGAGACACGGCCCAGACUCCUACGGGAGGCAGCAGUGGGGAAUUUUGGACAAUGGGCGAAAGCCUGAUCCAGCAAUGCCGCGUGUGUGAAGAAGGCCUUCGGGUUGUAAAGCACUUUUGUCCGGAAAGAAAUCCUUGGCUCUAAUACAGUCGGGGGAUGACGGUACCGGAAGAAUAAGCACCGGCUAACUACGUG